rnacentral:lncRNA from 1 species
AUGAAAGAAUUUGAGUUUGAUAAGGUUUUUCAUCAAGAAACAACUCAAGAAAAUGUUUUUGUUGAGGUGGAAUCAAUUCUAAGGUCCGCAAUGGAAAGGCAGAAUGUGUGCGAUUUCACUUAUGGUCAAACCGACAUAAGCAAAACAUUUACCAUGAAUGUUGCACGGGAACAAUCAACUCAUAUACUUGUGAACAUGUAA